rnacentral:misc_RNA from 1 species
UGGAUGCUCUUGGACUCUCCUGA